CGAAAGCCUGACGGAGCAAGACCGCGUGAGGGAUGACGGCCUAAUGGUUGUAAACCUCUUUUCUCUGGGAAGAUAAUGACGGUACCAGAGGAAUAAGCCUCGGCUAACUCCGUGCCAGCAGCCGCGGUAAUACGGAGGAGGCAAGCGUUAUCCGGAAUUAUUGGGCGUAAAGCGUCCGUAGGUGGUUAAUCAAGUCAGCUGUUAAAGAGCGGAGCUCAACUCCGUUAGAGCGGUUGAAACUGAUUGACUAGAGUUUGGUAGGGGUCGAGGGAAUUCCCAGUGUAGCGGUGAAAUGCGUAGAUAUUGGGAAGAACACCGGUGGCGAAAGCGCUCGACUGGGCCUGAACUGACACUGAGGGACGAAAGCUAG
rnacentral:rRNA from 1 species